CUGAGAGCCUGACAUGUACCUGACAAGAGCGGGCGGCCUCUACCUGCGGCUCUGAGCCCGGUAUAAGCGGUGAGGUCUCUUCAUGAGGAGAAUGUGCCGGUUAUCUGAGGUGAAUACAACCUGAGAAUAUCAUAAAAGGUGGUGAAUACAGCCUGAGAAUAACAUAAAACAGUCUAAGAAUAACACAAAAGGAGGUGAAUACAACCUGAGAACAAUAUAAAAGAGGUGAAAACAACACGAGAAUAACAUAAAAGUAGGUUAAUACAACCUGAGAAUAACAUAAAAGGAGGUGAAUACAACCCCAGAAUAACAUAAAAGGAGGUAUCUUGACCCACUCCUCAUAAGAUCCUGCUCCAGCUGUCUCAGGGGUGAAGGUGUCUUCUCCAGACUGCAUAAAAAGAAGAGGAGGGCUUCUAUGGGUAGGACCAAUAUGUACAGGAGGGAUGAAGGGUUGUGCAAUGCUGAGGUACAACACUCGCUGAGCUUGUACGGGAUGACACUGGUUACGGUGUAGACUGGCUGCUGCAGAUUUCCCACGCCGGAAGGCGUACAAAGGAUAACGAGAUAAGCACACUGCGAAGGUUGGGAAAUAUUCCAGCGCUGCCGGUUCUCCCCAAGGUAGG